UACGUAGGGUGCGAGCGUUAAUCGGAAUUACUGGGCGUAAAGGGUGCGCAGGCGGUUAUAUAAGUCAGAUGUGAAAUCCCCGGGCUCAACCUGGGAACUGCGUUUGUGACUGUAUGACUAGAGUACGGUAGAGAGGGGUGGAAUUCCUGGUGUAGCAGUGAAAUGCGUAGAUAUCAGGAGGAACACCGGUGGCGAAGGCGGGUCUCUGGGCCGAUACUGACGCUGAGGAGCGAAAGCGUGGGGAGCGAACAGG
rnacentral:rRNA from 1 species